AGAAAAUCACGACACGCGUGUACUUCUGCCGUGCUUCUCUCAAGUUUUGAAUCUGCCGCGUUACCGACGAAGGCCACCGACCGAUGGCGCGGUAGAGCACGGGCUUGGGGAGACGACCAGUAAAUUUUGAGAGAAAAAAAUUCAAAAAGAAAAUAUUCAACAAGGUUGAACGAAGGAGAUAGCAGUUAUCACGAGACCUUUAUAUAGAAUUAAAAUAUAGGAAUUAGAAGCUUUAAAUGUUGUUUCUCUUACUUUUACAGGUAAGAACUAAGAUUAUUAGUGAGUUUUGUACAUAGUGUAAAUACAUAGUGUAAAUAAAUCUCUUACUUUUACAGAAACGCAAUUGAGUUUUUGAUUCUAACGUAAACUGGACGCGGAAAGACUUAUUACACAUAUAAAAAUUCACAACAUAAUUUAAAAAAAAAAC